UACGUAGGUGGCAAGCGUUACUCGGAAUCACUAGGCGUAAAGCGCGGGUAGGCGGUUAGGUAAGUCUGUUGUGAAAGUCAAAGGCUCAACCUUUGAAUGCCGAUGGAUACUGCCGGGCUAGAGUCCGGAAGAGGCGAGUGGAAUUCCUGGUGUAGCGGUGGAAUGCGCAGAUAUCAGGAGGAACACCGAUAGCGAAGGCAGCUCGCUGGGACGGUACUGACGCUAAGGCGCGAAAGCGUGGGGAGCGAACAGG
rnacentral:rRNA from 1 species